rnacentral:rRNA from 1 species
AACGAACGCUGGCGGCAGGCUUAACACAUGCAAGUCGAGCGCACCGCCAGGUGAGCGGCAGACGGGUGAGUAACGCGUGGGAAUCUACCCAACCCUACGGAAUAACCCAGGGAAACUUGGACUAAUACCGUAUACGCCCUUUUGGGGAAAGAUUUAUCGGGGAUGGAUGAGCCCGCGUUGGAUUAGCUAGUUGGUGGGGUAAAGGCCUACCAAGGCGACGAUCCAUAGCUGGUCUGAGAGGAUGAUCAGCCACAUUGGGACUGAGACACGGCCCAAACUCCUUCGGGAGGCAGCAGUGGGGAAUAUUGGACAAUGGGGGCAAGCCUGAUCCAGCCAUGCCGCGUGAGUGAUGAAGGCCUUAGGGUUGUAAAGCUCUUUAAGUAGGGAAGAUAAUGACGGUACCUACAGAAGAAGCCCCGGCUAACUUCGUG